AGAGAGAGAGACCCUCAUACACUGUAUAUAUAAAUAGAGAGAGAGACCCUCAUACACUGUUUAUAUAUACAGUGUAUGAGGGUCUCUCUCUGUUUAUAUAUACAG
rnacentral:miRNA from 1 species